GUUGGUAAUAAAGGUUCUGAUGAUUUUUCUGAUGGAAAAGUGGUCUUUUAUUUCCAUAAUCUUUGUUCAGUGAACGCCUAAACACGUUUGUUAGUUAGCAGUUAAACAAAAUGCGAUCUCUUUGUUUACAGUUACCAACGACCAACUGAUGAUUGGGGGUUCCAUUCCCUAGUGAUGCAAGGUUUUUUCUUUCAUUUUGGACUGCACACACAUCGCGUGUGACGGAUACUCGCACAAUGGCCAAGUACAAAAGCUGAAACAAUAGGGGAUUAUCACGCUUCCUGGUUCCGGUGGCGGGAUUUGUCUUCGUUGUGCAUGAACACUUCCGGCGCACUUCCACCAUGGCUGAAACAAAGGCGAGAUGUCACUGCUCUCUGUUCCACUUUGUACAUCUAACAAACACCAACCCUACUUAAGUUUUCAUGGAUUCCCGACUGAAAUGAGUCUAAGGAAGAAGUGGAUUCAAGCGGUUCGCCGGGAUGAAGGGCCAAACUUUAAAAUAAAACAAGGUAGCAUGUUUGUUUGUAGCCGGCACUUUAGUGAAUCAGACUACAAACGCUACAGCUAGCAACCAACCGGGGUCACACCAAGCGACUGAAAAUCGGGUCUGUACCCUCCCGUUUCCAGUGGAACAACUGGGGACUGCCAAGAAGGGGGUCUGUUUAUAAAAGAGCAUCAACUCGCUUAGGCCUUGACGUUCACCCAUCCCUUCCUCUGGAGCAACCGCUGCCCUGUGAAUAAGAGCCGAUGGAGGAGAUCGCAGCUUCGGUGGUGAUGACAGAACAUGAUUUCGGUUCUGCUCCUAAACCAGGCCUGCAAGAGAAGGUGCUGGCUGACAUGUUUCAGGUCAGUGUGUCCACUGUCUCCCAUGUUGUUAUACCGUGGGCCAACUACCGUUACCUGCUCCUUGGCUCCCUCCCCAUCUGGAUGAGUAAACUGCAAGUCAAGAACACCAUGCCAAGAUAAUUUGUGCAGUACAGUCCAGAUGUUCGGGUAAUCAUCGACUGCACCGAGGUGAACAUUCUUGUAAGAUGAACAUCAUCUUACAAGAACACAACAACCUUUAAGGCCUUGAUUGGGAUUGCCCCUUGUAGUGCUGUGACUUUUGUGUCAUGUCUCUUCACCGGCUCCAUCUCCGACCCAGAGCUGACUGAACGAAGUGGACUGCUGGAUUUACUGGAGCCAGGAGAUGGCUGCAUGGCAGACAAGGGUUUCACCAUCGAGAAGCCACUAGCUGAUCGUGGGGCAACGCUGAUUAUACCACCCUUCAAGAUGACAGUUCACUGAAGAGGAUGCUCUGAAAACACAAGCAAUCGCUCGACUUCCGAAUCCUCGUAGAAAGAGCAAUAGGCAGAGUCAAGGAAUACCGCAUCUGGGAACGCACUGUCCUUUCACCUUGUCUGCGACAGUCAAUCAGCUGUGGACCGUCUGCUGUGUGAUGACCAACUUCCAGGGACCACUUGAUUUAAAAGGCUACAUCCCUGUUGAAUAGUGUUUCUACUCAAACAUGUACCUAUAAAUAUUAAAUAUAAUAUAUAAAUAUUAAAACGAGAGGCACUGAACAUUUGGAGUGGUCCCCUCAUUUUUUUCCGGAGCUGUAAUUUUGUACACUGAAAACAUUGUAUAUAUUGAAUGACAUGUAAUGUAAUUGAAUGAGAAGUCUUUCAUCUAUAAUCAAGUCCAG
ensembl:lncRNA